rnacentral:rRNA from 1 species
AUACGUAGGUGGCAAGCGUUAUCCGGAAUUAUUGGGCGCAAAGCGCAUGUAGGCGGUUUGGUAAGUCGGUCGUGAAAAUGCGGUGCUUAACGCCGUAUGGCGAUUGAAACUGCUGAACUUGAGUGCAGGAGAGGAAAGGGGAACUCCCAGUGUAGCGGUGAAAUGCGUAGAUAUUGGGAAGAACACCGGUGGCGAAGGCGCCUUUCUGGACUGUGUCUGACGCUCAGAUGCGAAAGCCAGGGUAGCGAACGGGAUUAGAUACCCCGGUAGUCCUGGCCGUAAACGAUGGGUACUAGGUGUGGGAGGUAUCGGCUCCUUCCGUGCCGGAGUUAACGCAAUAAGUACCCCGCCUGGGGAGUACGGCCGCAAGGCUUAAACUCAAAGGAAUUGACGGGG